CGAUGAAUAGAGAGCCACGCGAGUCGCUCCGUAUAUUAUCCUUCGAAACACGAUCAUUCAUUAUUGCAUAGGCUAUCGAAAUUAGUUGUGUUCUUGCGAGUGAGUGUAAGUGCUAUAAAAGAACUACGAAGGAUAAACAUGAGAGGACAGAGAAACAUCGAACGACAAGAUGAAGAAAUUGUAAGGAACAAAACGGGACCAAGGUGAGAAAUGUGACAGGCAAAACACGCGGAGGAACUGUUCAUUUGCGUGAGUGCAUUCACACCAUUAUUGCAGCGCACGGUACGAGACGAUAUUGAAUCCUGUCGGAAGGUGAGCAUUCAAUCGUAGCCAGUGUGUAUCGGUUGAUCGAACGCAGCGGACCGUCCAUCGUCGAAUAUAGAUCGACAGUGCGAUCGAAAGCUUAUUUCUCAACUCAUUUGCAAAAAGUCCGAUAAAAAAAGACGCGAGGAAAAACAUUGAAGAGAGAACGAAUAAAAUUAAAAGAAAAAUGAUUAAGAGGAUACCAGAGUGCGCCAGACCAAAAGUUUGGUGCCCGCAAGAGGAUUACUACUUUCCUGAGGAUGGUAUUUCCAUGUCUAUCGCUUCUGCCUUCCCGAAUCAGACCAACGAAAAGAGCGAAAUUGCGAUUUAUCACAAUAUCGAAGUGAUGCAUCAAGAUGGUGGAUCUUUCGUCCCACAGCCUUUCAAAACACACGUCAUCGACGCCAAAUG
rnacentral:lncRNA from 1 species